ACUUAGGUAGCUUAAAUUUAAAGCUUGACUCUGAAGAGGUCAAUAUAGGUUAACCUUCUAAGUA
rnacentral:tRNA from 1 species